rnacentral:lncRNA from 1 species
GAACAUGUUUAUUCGCCUUUCUUUUAGGCAGAGCUGGUGCACGUUCGGGGCUCUGCAUUUUGCGGAAUCGCACUGGUAAGAAAACUCGUUUCGCACAGAUUCCCACCUUUCCCUGUAGUGUUGGUGCUUUUGUGAAAUAGCUGCAGUCACAGUAACUGGAUAAAACUCCAGGGAGAAAGGGGGUCUGCUUUAGAUCUCAGACUUUCGUCCUGUUUCCCAGUGCUGUUGGAGCCUUUGGGGCUUUGUGUUCAUGUUCUUCCUAUUACUGUCAUUUGAAUAUGUCUUUUCAGCAGUGUUUGUGGGUUUCCUAGGGGAGAAAAAAAAAUCCUCGGAGAAGACUAGGGAGGGGGCGAGAGGUUUAGGAGAAUAAACACAUGUAAGAAGUAACAUUUAUUUCCGCGCAGAGACUUGCUGCUUCGAUGAUUGCUAAAAUGUAGCGUCACCUACCAGGUGUCUUCACAUGCAAUCUCUCUCUGAAUGUGCAAUGUCUUUCCUGCUCGGGAGUGCUGCGUCCUUCACAGUGGAUUGGUUCCUCUCUCGGAGCAGAGGCCACUGAGGAUCCUAAUUGGAAAAAAACCCGUCUUCAGAACUAGCAGCACAGACACAAUCCUGGAUGAGUGGAAGGAGGCAAAAUAGAAGAGGAUAUAAAAAAGGUGAGAAAAGAGCUGGAAGUUGUACUAUGUGAUUGUGUCCUUCACUCGCUGAGUCAGCAGGAGCCAAGAGCUCUGCAGGGGCAUGCUUAGCCUUCACAUUUCUCCACAGAAACCCCAUCUGGCCAACUAAAUUGCCAGCAAUUGACAAGCCGUGCUGGAAGCAGUAUCCAGCUAUUCUCAGGCAGUGUGAAGGUUACUAUGUUGUGGGAUGUAGUAGGAAAGGAAAUGAGGAAGUUGUUGCAGAGCUAUACCUCACAUGCAAUAAGGGGAAGCAUCCAGAAUAUGUGACAAAACUCAGACUGUUCACUGUUGCAGUCUCUAGACUUAUCAAGGAUUGGACUUGCUGAGAAAAAUUAGCUACUGCUUUAGAAAGACCCGAUAUUCUUCUUGGGAAGAAAAAAGAAAACCUCAAAGAGAAAAAAAGUUGAAGGAAACUGAAGAGUUAAUUUUUAUUAUAGAAUUUGUAUCUGAAUUCCAGA